GACGAACGCUGGCGGCGUGCUUAACACAUGCAAGUCGAACGGAAAGGCCCUGCUUUUGUGGGGUGCUCGAGUGGCGAACGGGUGAGUAACACGUGAGUAACCUGCCCUUGACUUUGGGAUAACUUCAGGAAACUGGGGCUAAUACCGGAUAGGAGCUCCUGCUGCAUGGUGGGGGUUGGAAAGUUUCGGCGGUUGGGGAUGGACUCGCGGCUUAUCAGCUUGUUGGUGGGGUAGUGGCUUACCAAGGCUUUGACGGGUAGCCGGCCUGAGAGGGUGGCCGGCCACAUUGGGACUGCGGUACGGCCCAGUCUCCUACGGGAGGCAGCAGUGGGGAAUAUUGCACAGUGGGCGGGCGCCUGAUGCGACAGCGCCGCGUGCGGGAUGCCGGCCUUCGGGUGGUAAACCGCUUUCGCCUGUGACGAAGCGGGAGUGACGGUAAUGGGUAAAGAAGCACCGGCUAACUACGUG
rnacentral:rRNA from 1 species